rnacentral:rRNA from 1 species
UACGGAGGGUGCAAACGUUGCUCGGAAUCAUUGGGCGUAAAGCGCACGUAGGCGGUUCGGUAAGUCGGAUGUGAAAUCCCUCGGCUCAACCGAGGAAGUGCAUCCGAAACUGCCGGGCUUGAGUACGGAAGAGGGUCUCGGAAUUCCCGGUGUAGAGGUGAAAUUCGUAGAUAUUGGGAAGAACACCGGUGGCGAAGGCGGCCAUCUGGACCGUAUCUGACGCUGAGGCGCGAAAGCGUGGGGAGCAAACAGG